ensembl:lncRNA novel transcript
ACAGACCUUGCUCAGGUCACGUUCUGAGCCUGCUUCUCACUCCUGCCCCCUCCCACCCUCCUGGUUCUGCCAUGGACAAGCUGAAGUCUCUCUGAGACCAGGGGACCCGCAUGGCCCAGCCACCCCACCCCACCAUCUCCCAGGCAUGUGAGAAAAUAUCACAUUCUCUGUGUUUUGGAGAUUUCUUCUAAAUGUAUUUUCCAACUAUCAUUUCAUAGCAAAUCAGCGAGAAAAAAGAAAAUAGACUCUACUUAGAAAUGAAACUCAACUAAAGGUAAAAGUUGUCAGGAACAUCUCCAAGAAAGCCAGAGUCAGCCUCUAAACUUUGCAUCAAGAACGCAAUGGCUUCCCUGAGGGCCCAGGGACGCGUGGCAGCUGUGAGGCAGCCCCUUCUCUGCUGUCGAGGAACUGGACACUUCUCCUGUCCCUUCCCACAAGGGGCUUCCUGGAGCUCCUGCAACCCCAGGCAUUAGUUCCGGUGCAGUUCUAGGAUCAGAUCAAUUCACUCGACAACAAGAGAAACAAAUGGAGAUUCCUACACAAAGACUUUCAAGCACAAAGAAAUCCUGCUGCCUGUAAAGCGGAGCUGCCUCAGCCCUUGAUGAACGACAGAAAAUCUCACAUUCCAGGAAUUCAGAUGAAGUGAAGUGCUCUCAUGGGGACCAGGCAUGGUUAUGCCAGUCCACUGCCCUGCAAGCCUCAAGGGAAGCCAACUGCCCUUCAGCAAGUCACACCUGCCUUGGUGGAGGCCUUGAUUGGAAGUGCCACACGCUACAUGUCCAGUCCUGAGCGGGAGAAUCGGUGUAGGGACGUUCUGGGGAUGCCAGCUGUGGCCAGAUCAGGUCCAACUACAGAAGAAUAAUGAAGACUCCACCUGAGGGCUGGAAAAACAAAACCUCAAGUGUGAGGCAGCCAACCUGUUACCUCGAGGGACUGUUCCGCAG